rnacentral:rRNA from 1 species
ACGAACGCUGGCGGCGUGCCUAAUACAUGCAAGUAGAACGCUGAAGAGAGGAGCUUGCUCUUCUUGGAUGAGUUGCGAACGGGUGAGUAACGCGUAGGUAACCUGCCUUGUAGCGGGGGAUAACUAUUGGAAACGAUAGCUAAUACCGCAUAACAAUGGAUGACACAUGUCAUUUAUUUGAAAGGGGCAAUUGCUCCACUACAAGAUGGACCUGCGUUGUAUUAGCUAGUAGGUGAGGUAACGGCUCACCUAGGCGACGAUACAUAGCCGACCUGAGAGGGUGAUCGGCCACACUGGGACUGAGACACGGCCCAGACUCCUACGGGAGGCAGCAGUAGGGAAUCUUCGGCAAUGGGGGCAACCCUGACCGAGCAACGCCGCGUGAGUGAAGAAGGUUUUCGGAUCGUAAAGCUCUGUUGUAAGUCAAGAACGAGUGUGAGAGUGGAAAGUUCACACUGUGACGGUAGCUUACCAGAAAGGGACGGCUAACUACGU